UCCAUCCUGAAGCUGCUUUUGGUGGGGUCCUUUGUCACCGCGUGAAGGAGAGCAGCGAGGAGAGCGACUCGUCAGUGGGUGCCUCUCGCCGUCCGCGGUGCUCUUCUGCAGGUCAGAGGUCAUGUACACAGAGCAAGGGCCAGAGGAACAGUCCAUCUAUGUGGUGCAGCGCCUGCAAGGAGUUUACAAGAAGAAUCCUGCCUCACAGUGGGGAGAAAGCAGCGUCUAUAUACGUUAGAAAUCUGCAAUGUGAAAAUCUUCUGCGUACCAAAGACAAAGGAACAAAGCUCCUACGCUUAAAGCUUACCUACCAGUGGGGGAGACAGGCAGGAGACCCACAGAACACCAUCGUGUUGUAUUCAGCUCACCGUGCAGAAUCAAUGCUAACAGCAUCCUUAGCAACAUCUCCUUCAUUUCCCUGGGCAGAGGCAGCCUCACUGCCUGGAGGAAGUAUGUGCCACGGAACGGAGAAGGGUGAAGCGGUGACUUCCAUCUCUUCCCCCCACUGCAGGAACACCCUGAUGCUGGGUCUGUUUCCCCAGAGUUUGAUAAGUCCCUUCACAACUCUGACCACCCUAACGGGAGCCUCUGAACUUGUAGUUCUCAACCUUCCGCAUACAACCACCUUUUAAUACAGUUCUGAAUGCUGUGGUGACCCAAAGCAUAAAGUUAUUUUCGUUGCU